GUAGUCAUAUGCUUGUCUCAAAGAUUAAGCCAUGCAUGUCUAAGUAUAAGCAAUUAUAUAGUGAAACUGCGAAUGGCUCAUUAAAUCAGUUAUCGUUUAUUUGAUAGUACCUUACUACUUGGAUAACCGUGGUAAUUCUAGAGCUAAUACAUGCUAAAAACCCCGACCUCCGGAAGGGGUGUAUUUAUUAGAUAAAAAACCAAUGCCUUCGGGCUUGUUGGUGAAUCAUAAUAACUUAACGAAUCGCAUGGCCUUGCGCCGGCGAUGGUUCAUUCAAAUUUCUGCCCUAUCAACUUUCGAUGGUAGGAUAGUGGCCUACCAUGGUUUCAACGGGUAACGGGGAAU
rnacentral:rRNA from 1 species